GUUUAUAUCAAUCUUUAUUUGGUGAUUUCUCGCUGAUUCUUUAUGCAGCACGAUACCUUCUCCAUCUCAUGAUUGGUAGUUAAUGUGAAACUGUCAACCUUCAUAUUUAACUUGAAACAAAAUUGAUGGUAUUGCUUUACACUAUACAUUUGGUACUUUACUGCUCAUUUUUUCUUUCUCCUGCAAGCCUUACUUUUUAUUCUAAAUAGUUGAUUAACAGGGGAGAACUAGACUCCUACUCCUACAUAUGUCUAACUAUGAUUUAUGGGAACUUAAGUAAAGAAAAAGCCUUCAUUUGUUGAUACGAAUUCUUUGUAUAUCGGUUCAUGCCUAUCAAAUAUGAAUAUUCAUUUUUACUAACCUGCGUCUUUCUUUUCAUUCAUAGGUCUGACUUUAUUUUGUUGAUGCUAAGAUCACUUUCUGCACAAAAGUUGUCACAUUUUCCCCAUGUAAUUUGCAUUUGUGCACGAAAGCUUAUAUAUCUGCUUUUAUCCAUACUCCUGCUUGCGUAAAAGAAUCUGUGUUUUUAUUAGGAUCAAUUGACACAUUUUGCAGUGUUAUGUAGAUAUUUUUUGCGCUGGGGAAUUGUGGUAUGUACUCAUCUUUCGUUUACUUACCCCCUAUUUGGCCCCCCUUUUUUUCCAAUUUUUAAUGUUUGGAAUAGUGGUUUUUUUUUUUUUUUUUUUAAGAAUGUGUGG
rnacentral:lncRNA from 1 species